rnacentral:lncRNA from 1 species
GAGAAAUUCCCUGGGGUUUAGAUCUUUUUUAAAAGGAUGUGUGUAAAAUUCUACCGAGUUUUUUAAAACUAUGCUUUAUUUCGCCAAAGUGGCGCAUUCGAGGAGAAAUUGCAAGCUCCAUUUUAGAAAACGGUUCCAAACGGUUCGCCCUGUCGUCACUAGAGGGCAGCAGAGGGACUUCUGCGACUUCCGACCCCUGGUUUUUGCAGGGACGCGGAGGGGAGACAACGCAAUCGCUUUAUUUUGGUGGAGGUGACGGAGUUUUUCUCUUCAGCAUGACCAUGUCAAGCCACCAUCAUAUCCCUUAUCCCCGCUCGGUUGGACAGAGAUGCAGAACCUACAGACAGGGAACGCCACAGUUCGACUUAUUCCGUGGGUGUGGAAGUUGUUGGAUAAACGCCCGGUCAGGUGCCCCAGAGACCACAUCUCCUGCAGGGAUGUAGACAGAGCAAACGGGACUCGGAGGGAGCGGAAGGCCUUCUAAAUCUAGGGUUCCACUGCUCACGAGCCAUGGCAAUAAUAACCCAGCGCCCCCCAGAGCCCGGGACACAACGAGCCCCGGGGGGCGGGUGCAGCUCAAGCAGCAGUGACAGUUGACAAACGCUGCCAAGGGCAGACACCGGGGCAGCAUGCUCAGCACUGUGUUGGGACGUCGCACACAUUCACAGCACAGUCAUUGAGUGAAUGUCCGCUUGGCUCCACGUGUGGACCCAGAUGUAUUCGUGAGCACGGCUCAGGGCCGGAAGCUGCUCCUGGCUCCCUGCGGCCCAGCUGGCAACUCUCGAGCAGCGCUCGAGCACACCCCUGGCAAAGGCAGCUCUUUCUGACUACCAAAGUGAAUGGCUUCUCUUAACCCUGUUCUCGCUCAUUCUUACGGCAGGUAUCAGGUGGCUGCCUGGCUUCGGG